CUGAGAGGAUGGUCAGCCACACUGGAACUGAGAUACGGUCCAGACUCCUACGGGGGGCAGCAGUCUAGAGGCUUCGGCAAUGGGGGAAACCCUGACCGAGCGACGCCGCGUGUGGGAUGAAGGCGUUUUCGUUGUAAACCACUGUGUAGAGGGAAGAAUGCCCUGAUGGUGAAUCAGGGAGGGACGGUACCUCUAUAGAAAGCCCCGGCUAACUCCGUGCCAGCAGCCGCGGUAAUACGGGGGGGGCAAGCGUUGUUCGGAUUUACUGGGCGUAAAGGGUGCGUAGGUGGUUGGUUAAGUCGGGCGUGAAAGCUUUACCACUCAACGGAAAGAGGUCGCUCGAUACUGGCUGACUAGAGUAUGGUAGAGGCAAGCGGAAUUCCUGGUGUAGCGGUGGAAUGUGCAGAUAUCAGGAAGAACAUCGGUGGCGAAGGCGGCUUGCUGGGCCAUUACUGACGCUGAGGCACGAAAGCGUGGGGAGCAAACGGGAUUAGAUACCCCGGUAGUCCACGCUCUAAACGGUGCGCACUAGGUGUGGGGGGUAUCGACCCCUCCCGUGCCGUAGUAAACACAUUAAGUGCGCCGCCUGGGGAGUACGGCCGCAAGGUUGAAACUCAAAGGAAUUGACGGGGGCCCGCACAAGCGGUGGAGGAUGUGGUUUAAUUCGACGCUACGCGAAGAACCUUACCUGGGCUUGAACCGAUAGGUAAACCCGUGGAAACACGGGCUGGGGGCAACUCCGACCUAUUAGAGGUGCUGCAUGGCUGUCGUCAGCUCGUGUCGUGAGAUGUUGGGUUAAGUCCCGCAACGAGCGCAACCCUUGUCGUUAGUUACCAGCGCGUUAUGGCGGGGACUCUAGCGAGACCGCCGGCAAUAAGCCGGAGGAAGGUGGGGAUGACGUCAAGUCCUCAUGGCCCUUACGUCCAGGGCUACACACGUCCUACAAUGGCAGGGACAACGGGAUGCAAUACCGCGAGGUGGAGCUAAUCCAUUAAACCCUGUCUCAGUUCAGGUUGCAGUCUGCAACUCGACUGCAUGAAGAUGGAAUCGCUAGUAAUCGCAGAUCAGAAUGCUGCGGUGAAUACGUUCCCGGGCCUUGUACACACCGCCCGUCACACCACGAAAGUCAGUUGUUCCAGAAGUCGCUGCCGGAACCCGCAAGGGACCAAGGUGCCGAAGGAAUGACCGGUAAUUGGGGUGAAGUCGUAACAAGGUA
rnacentral:rRNA from 1 species